UAGGGAAUCUUCGGCAAUGGACGAAAGUCUGACCGAGCAACGCCGCGUGAGUGAAGAAGGUUUUCGGAUCGUAACACUCUGUUGUUAGAGAAGAACAAGGACGUUAGUAACUGAACGUCCCCUGACGGUAUCUAACCAGAAAGCCACGGCUAACUACGUGCCAGCAGCCGCGGUAAUACGUAGGUGGCAAGCGUUGUCCGGAUUUAUUGGGCGUAAAGCGCUCGCAGGCGGUUUCUUAAGUCUGAUGUGAAAGCCCCCGGCUCAACCGGGGAGGGUCAGUGGAAACUGGGAGACUUGAGGGCAGAAGAGGAGAGUGGAAUUCCAUGGGUAGCGGUGAAAUGCGUAGAUAGAUGGAGGAACACCAGUGGCGAAGGCGGCUCUCUGGUCUGUAACUGACGCUGAGGCUCGAAAGCGUGGGGAGCAAACAGG
rnacentral:rRNA from 1 species